rnacentral:rRNA from 1 species
GACGAACGCUGGCGGCGUGCUUAACACAUGCAAGUCGAACGGAAAGGCCCCCACCUUGGUGGGGGUGCUCGAGUGGCGAACGGGUGAGUAACACGUGGGUGAUCUGCCCUGUACUUCGGGAUAAGCUUGGGAAACUGGGUCUAAUACCGGAUAGGACCAUGGUUUAGUGUCUCAUGGUGGAAAAAUUAUUGUUUUGGUGCAGGAUGAGCUCGCGGCCUAUCAGCUUGUUGGUGGGGUAAUGGCCUACCAAGGCGUCGACGGGUAGCCGGCCUGAGAGGGUGGACGGCCACAUUGGGACUGAGAGACGGCCCAGACUCCUACGGGAGGAAGCAGUGGGGAAUAUUGCACAAUGGGCGCAAGCCUGAUGCAGCGACGCCGCGUGGGGGAUGACGGCCUUCGGGUUGUAAACUCCUUUCGUUAGGGACGAAGCCACACCUUUUUUGGGUGUGGUGACGGUACCUUUGUUAAGAAGCACCGGCUAACUACGUG